rnacentral:misc_RNA from 2 species
AGCAGCCGCGGUAAUUCCAGCUCCAAUAGCGUAUAUUAAAGUUGCUGCAGUUAAAAAGCUCGUAGUUGAAUUUCGGGAUCAAUAUAUCGGUCGUGCCUUCGGUACGUACUGGUAUCAUUGGUUUCUCCUUUCUGACGAACCAUGAUGUCAUUAAUUUGGUGUUAUGGGGAGUUAGGACUGUUACUUUGAAAAAAUUAGAGUGUUUAAAGCAGGCUUUAGCUUGAAUACAUUAGCAUGGAAUAAUGAAAUAGGACGUUCGAACCUAUUUUGUUGGUUUCUAGGAUCAACGUAAUGAUUAAUAGGGAUAGUUGGGGGGCAUUAGUAUUCAAUUGUCAGAGGUGAAAUUCUUGGAUUUAUUGAAGACUAACUACUGCGAAAGCAUUUGCCAAGGAUGUUCUCAUUAAUCAAGAACGAAAGUUAGGGGAUCGAAGACGAUCAGAUACCGUCGUAGUCUUAACCAUAAACUAUGCCGACUAGGGAUCGGAUGAUGUUAAUUUUUUAAUGAACUCAUUCGGCGCCU